rnacentral:rRNA from 1 species
AUGGCCGGCUGGAUCUCCUCGAAGCUCAAGGCCGCGGAAACCCUCCUCCACCAAAUCGACCAGCAGGCGGCGGAGUCGCUCGGCAAGUCCUCCUCCGCCUCCGACCUCACCGCCCUCCAGCAGCCCUCCUCCGCCGCGCUCCUCGACGCCCCCGCGCCGCGCAGGCCGCCGCCGGCGACCCCGCCCCCCUCCCUCGGCCUCCGCAUCGCCGCCAGGCGCCACUCCCAGCCUCCCCCUCCGCCCCCCUCCGCGCCCCGCCGCUCCGCCUCCGCCGCGGCGGAUCUCUCGGCGCAGGAUCAGCCCGGUGCCGAGCCUGCCGUCGCGGUUGAGGCGAAGGCGGAGGGGGAUGGGAGGGAUCGGGAGGAGGCCGAGAAAGGAGGCCCGUCUGAGAGCGGGAGCGGGAGCGAUGACGAUUCCGAUGGGUCCGGGAGCGACGACUCGGAGGAGGAGAGGCGGAGGGAGGAGGAGCGGAGCCGGCGGCGUGCCGAGCGGCUCGCGGCGAUGGCGGCACGAGCCAUUGCAGAGAGGGAGGAGGCCGUGGCGAGGCUGGAGGGGGAGAAGACCAGCCUUGAGAAGCUGCUCGCCGUGCGUGAGAAGGAGCAAGCACAGGAGGCUUCAGAGUUGCAGACUAGUAUGAUUGAAACCAUGGAAGCUACAGAGAUAGAGAAACAACGGCAUCACAGCACUAGAAUGGAAGCCCUUGUGCGGUUGGCUGAGCUUGAGGUUACAAAUGCAGAGCUUGCAAAGUCACUUGCCAGGGAACAAUGGAAUUUGGAAGUUCAAGUUGAUCAAGUGGCUCAUCUCCGAGAGGAAGUUGACUUGAAGACUUUUGCUCAAGACAAGUACAAGAGAAAGAUAGCGAAGAUACAGAAGACAAGUGCCCCUUUGGUUGAUGAAAUAGAAUCCUUGAGAAGAUUAAAGCUGGAAGACGAAAUCAUUGAUGCAGAAUACACCCAGACCUGUGAUAGAAUUGUCAGCUUGAAGGACAAGGCAAGGAAGAUUGAAGAAAACAUUGAGCUGGCAAGAAGGGACAUGGUGCAACCUACAGAGGUUGAAAUUGAGCUCAAGAAGAGGCUCGAUCAACUCACCGAUCGGUUGAUUCAAAAACAAAUGCAGGUCGAGUCCCUGUCUUCAGAGAAGUCAACUUUGGUACUGAGAAUGGAGGCUGUUUCGAGGUCGCUUGACACCAACGCCUCGUCGCUGGCGUCUUCAAGCUCGUCAUCAAGGAUAGACAUCGAGGCCGGUGCAUGGCAAGAUUCAUAUUCAUCAUAUUCUUCCCCAAGGCUGGGUGACAGGAUACGGACUGGGCAGCAGCACCUGGGAUACGCGAUACGGCAGCUCGACUCCAUCUUCUCGGCUGGUCACAUCUUCCUGCGGCGUAACCCGAAGGCGCAGGUCGGGGCUGCAGUGUACCUGGUGUGCCUCCACAUAUGGGUCAUGUACAUACUGUCGUCGCAUCCUGCUGUCCCGGACACCCGCCCCGGCGCCACCUUCUCUCUGGAGUCGAUCAACAAGACUAGCAUUUAA